GCGCGGCGGGAGCGCGCGCGCGGGCGGUGUGGGGAGCGCGCCCGCGCCUCGGGAGCGCGCGCGGGCCGAGGCCGCGCUUGAAGGGCCGGGAAGGCUGGGGUUGGGGGUGCGGGGGGGGGUGAGUGUGUAAGUGCGCGUGUGCGGGAGCGCGCCCGCGCGCGGAGGCGGGGAGGGAACAGACCGCGCUGUGGCGGGGGGGAAACACCCCGUGGCACAGGCCGAGGGCAGCGGGGACGGCAGGCGCGGGAGCGCGCACGGGUGACGGCGGGCUGGGGGGUGGCGCGCACAGAGCAAGGGGAGCGCGGGAGCGCGCCCGGGCAGAGCGGGGGCACCCGCGGGGCGCGCGCACACCGGGGCGGGGGGGAGGCGGCGCUGUGCGCAUGCGCCGCCGGGGGCCGUUCCCGCGCGCCCGCCCCUUUCCCGCCGCUGCUUCACCUGAGGCGGCGGCGCGCAGGAAGCCCUGGGAGCCACCACGAGCCCAGUGCCACUGCAGAGGAGAAGUUCCAGCAGAGGAAAUUCCUGUUCCCUUUCCCAGGCCGGUGUGGAAGCACAAUUGAAGAUGAAUUGUCUCCAGGCAGCAGCAUCUCCUGUGCUGGGGAGUGCUGGCAGCUCCAUCAUGCACUACCAGAGCCAGCAGCCUCUGCACAAAAAACACCAAAAAAUUAAAUUCCUCUUUGGCUA